rnacentral:rRNA from 1 species
UACGGAGGAGGCAAGCGUUAUCCGGAAUUAUUGGGCGUAAAGCGUCCGCAGGUGGCGAUUCAAGUCUGCGGUUAAAGACUGGGGCUUAACCCUGGAAAGGCCGUGGAAACUGAAACGCUAGAGUGCAGUAGGGGUAGAGGGAAUUCCCGGUGUAGCGGUGAAAUGCGUAGAGCUCGGGAAGAACAUCGGUGGCGAGAGCGCUCUGCUGGACUGCAACUGACACUCAGGGACGAAAGCUAGGGGAGCGAAUGGG